GUGCAAAUUAUACUUUAAAAAAUUCUUUGUAGCUUUGCAUGGCGAUAAUAUAAAUUUUCAUUUGUUGAAACAUAUACGUGGUGUGUCCACAUACCAAAACCUAUACAAAAUUAUAUUUUAACGUAAUUAAGGACCAUCGCGCUUGUUUAUUAAACAUUACAUAAAUAAUUUUUGAUCAGGCCUGUGCAUGGUCAUACAUCUCGUUUACAUGAUAUCUCCUAUCAAUAGUUUACAAUCUGCCAUUAAUAGAUUGUAAACUAUCUCGUUUACAUUAUCUACUUUACAAAACGAUGAGGCAGUACCAUACCCUUAAAACCAUCAGGAUAAUGUUCUUCAAAGAAUUUCGUAGUAAUAUCACCAGUGAUGAACUUUGGAUGGGUAACCACAUCACGCAGUAAAGAAACGUUGUUUAUUAAACCU